rnacentral:rRNA from 1 species
UUACCUAGAGUUUGUAGACUUCGGUCUGCUACCUCUUACCCAUGUCUUUUGAGUACCUUCGUUUCCUCGGCGGGUCCGCCCGCCGAUUGGACAACAUUCAAACCCUUUGCAGUUGCAAUCAGCGUCUGAAAAAACAUAAUAGUUACAACUUUCAACAACGGAUCUCUUGGUUCUGGCAUCGAUGAAGAACGCAGCGAAAUGCGAUAAGUAGUGUGAAUUGCAGAAUUCAGUGAAUCAUCGAAUCUUUGAACGCACAUUGCGCCCCUUGGUAUUCCAUGGGGCAUGCCUGUUCGAGCGUCAUUUGUACCUUCAAGCUCUGCUUGGUGUUGGGUGUUUGUCUCGCCUCUGCGUGUAGACUCGCCUUAAAACAAUUGGCAGCCGGCGUAUUGAUUUCGGAGCGCAGUACAUCUCGCGCUUUGCACUCAUAACGACGACGUCCAAAAGUACAUUUUUACACUCUUGACCUCGGAUCAGGUAGGGAUACCCGCUGAACUUAAGCAUA